rnacentral:rRNA from 1 species
UACGGGGGGGGCAAGCGUUGUUCGGAAUUACUGGGCGUAAAGGGCUCGUAGGUGGCCAACUAAGUCAGACGUGAAAUCCCUCGGCUUAACCGGGGAACUGCGUCUGAUACUGGAUGGCUUGAGUGUGGGAGAGGGAUGCGGAAUUCCAGGUGUAGCGGUGAAAUGCUUAGAUAUCGUCAAGAACACCGAUAGUGAAGACAGCUUACUAGACUUCAACUGACGCUGAGGCACGAAAGUGUGGGGAUCAAACAGG